rnacentral:lncRNA from 1 species
GUGCUACUGGUCCUAUACUGGUGUUUCUGGUCCCAUACUGGUGUUUCUGCUCCCAUGCUGUUCCCAUACUGGUGUUACUGGUCCCAUCCUGGUGUUUCUGGUCCCAUACUGGUCCCAUACCGGUCCCAUACUGGUGCUACUGGUCCCAUACUGCUCCCACACUGGUGUUUCUGGUCCCAUACUGCUCCCAUACUGGUGCUACUGGUCCCAUACUGCUCCCAUACUGGUCCCAUACCGGUGCUACUGGUCCCUUACUGGUGUUACUGGUCCCAUACUGGUGUUACUGGUCCCAUACUGGUGUUUCUGGUCCCAUACUGCUCCCAUACUGGUGUUACUGGUCCCAUACCGAUGUUACUGGUCCCAUAUCAGUGUUACUGGUC